GCCCACUGAUAUAAAUUAAAGGGCCGCAGUAUUUUGACUGUGCGAAGGUAGCAUAAUCACUAGUCUUUUAAUUGGAGGCUUGUAUGAAUGGUUGAAUGAGAUAUAUACUGUCUUUUUUAAAAUUAUAUAGAAUUUUAUUUUUUAAUUAAAAAGUUAAAAUAAAAUUAAAGGACGAGAAGACCCUAUAGAUCUUUAUUUUUGUUAUUUAUAAAUUAAAAAGAAUUUUAAAAUUUAUAAUUUAAUAAAAAAUUUUAUUGGGGUGAUAUUAGAACAUAAUAAGCUUUUAACAUUUAUUAACAUAAAUAUAUGAAUAAAUGAUCCAGUUUUAGUGAUUAAAAAUUUAAGUUACCUUAGGGAUAACAGCGUAAUUUUUUUUAGAGUUCAUAUCGCCAAAAAAGAUUGCGACCUCGAUGUUGGAUUAAGAGUUAUUUUUAGCGUAGAAG
rnacentral:rRNA from 1 species